UCCGAUUUGUCACCGGCAGUCUCCUAUGAGUCCCCGUCUUUCACGCUCGUACCACGUACAUGUCAAGCCUAGGUAAGGUUCUUCGCGUUGCGUCGAAUUAAACCACACGCUCCGCUGCUUGUGCGGGCCCCCGUCAAUUCCUUUGAGUUUUAGCCUUGCGGCCGUAGUCCCCAGGCGGAGUACUUAUCGCGUUAGCUUCGGCACUGAGGGGGUCGAUACCCCCAACACCUAGUACUCAUCGUUUACAGCGUGGACUAC
rnacentral:misc_RNA from 1 species